rnacentral:lncRNA from 1 species
AAAUCCGGUUUCAUGCGGAACUCGGUAGAAGGUCGACCGACGGUGGAUUUCGGAAGGAGUUGGAGAGGAUCACCUGCUAGGAAGGGGUCUGGAGGGUUCUGAGGAAAUCCGAUCGGCGCUGUUGAAGUCCGGCUGACAUUAUUUGAGGCUGAUGGUUGGGGAGGUACGGCAGACGUCGGGGGCGAUUGGCUAUUGGGGGAG